GAUCAAGCGUCUUAAGUGCAUCUAGUGGAUGCCUUGGCGUGUGCAGGCGAUGAAGGACGUAAUACGCUGCGAUAAGCCUCGGGGAGCUGCGAAUAAGCUUUGAUCCGGGGAUUUCCGAAUGGGGAAACCCGACCAUUUAGGUCACCCGCAAGGGAGCUAACCCAGGGAACUGAAACAUCUAAGUACCUGGAGGAAAGGACAUCAAACGAGACUCCGUUAGUAGUGGCGAGCGAACGCGGACCAGGCCAGUGGCCUUUUGGUAAGAACGGGAAGGACUUGGAAAAGUCCGCCAGAGUGGGUGAUAGCCCCGUACCGGUAGAAAGCCAGAAGGUCCUCGAGUAAGGCGGAACACGUGAAAUUCUGUCUGAACAUGGGUAGACCACUAUCCAAGCCUAAGUACUCGCACACGACCGAUAGCGAACCAGUACCGUGAGGGAAAGGUGAAAAGCACCCCGACGAGGGGAGUGAAAUAGUACCUGAAACUGGAUGCAUACAAACAGUCGGAGCCCGCAAGGGUGACGGCGUACCUCUUGUAUAAUGGGUCAUCGACUUAGUCUGUCUAGCAAGCUUAAGCCGUUAGGUGUAGGCGCAGCGAAAGCGAGUCUGAAUAGGGCGUUAAGUUAGACGGAUUAGACCCGAAACCGAGUGAUCUAGGUAUGAGCAGGCUGAAGGUAAGGUAACACUUACUGGAGGGCCGAACCCACGUCUGUUGAAAAAGACGGGGAUGACUUGUUCCUAGGGGUGAAAGGCCAAUCAAACUCGGAAAUAGCUGGUUCUCCGCGAAAGAUAUUUAGGUAUCGCCUCAGACGAAUACCUCGGGGGGUAGAGCACUGGAUGGGCUAGGGGGUCUCACCGACUUACCAAACCUAACCAAACUCCGAAUACCCGAGAGUACUAUCUGGGAGACAGACGGUGGGUGCUAACGUCCAUCGUCAAAAGGGAAACAACCCUGACCUACAGCUAAGGUCCCCAAGUCAUAGUUAAGUGGGAAAGCAUGUGGGAUUACUCAGACAACCAGGAGGUUGGCUUAGAAGCAGCCAUCCUUUAAAGAUAGCGUAACAGCUCACUGGUCAAGUGAUCCUGCGGCGAAGAUGUACCGGGUCUAAAACUAUGCACCGAAGCUUAGGGUUUGCAACUUGUUGCAAGCGGUAGCGGAGCGUUCCGUAAGCCUGCGAAGCGGUACCUGUGAGGGGCCGUGGAGGUAUCGGAAGUGCGAAUGAUGACAUGAGUAGCGACAAAAAGUGUGAGAGACACUUUCGCCGAAAGUCCAAGGGUUCCUGCGCAAUGCUAAUCAGCGCAGGGUUAGCCGGCCCCUAAGUCGAGGCAGAAAUGCGUAGACGAUGGGAACCACGUUAAUAUUCGUGGGCCUGGUGGUAGUGACGGAUCUCGCGGGUCUGUAUCCCCUUAUCGGAUUGGGGGUGCAGUGAGCAGGUUCCAGGAAAUAGCUCCACCGACAUAGACCGUACCCGAAACCGACACAGGUGGACUGGUAGAGUAUACCAAGGCGCUUGAGAGAACUAUACUGAAGGAACUCGGCAAAUUGCACGCGUAACUUCGGGAUAAGCGUGACUUCUGUCUGGGCAACCAGGCCGGAGUGUCACAAAAGAGGGGGUGGCGACUGUUUAUCAAAAACACAGGGCUCUGCGAAGUUGCAAAACGACGUAUAGGGUCUGACGCCUGCCCGGUGCCGGAAGGUUAAAAGGAGAGGUUAACGCCUUGAAUUGAAGCCCCGGUAAACGGCGGCCGUAACUAUAACGGUCCUAAGGUAGCGAAAUUCCUUGUCGGGUAAGUUCCGACCUGCACGAAUGGCG
rnacentral:rRNA from 1 species